GCUUAACCGUAAAAUCCAACUCACAAUUAACAACGCCAGGGUACUACGAGCCUUAGCUUAAAACCCAAAGGACUUGACGGUGUCCCACCCAACUAGAGGAGCCUGUUCUAUAAUCGAUAAUCCACGAUAUACCAAACCAUUUUUUGUUAUUCAGCCUGUAUACCUCCGUCGCAAGCUUACCGUAUGAACGAAUAUCAGUAGGCUCAAUGGUCAAAACACCAAAACGUCAGGUCAAGGUGCAGCUCAUGAAAUGGAAGAAAUGGGCUACAAUUUCUAAACUAGAACAAACGAAAUACUAUAUGAAAUAUAGUCAUGAAGGCGGAUUUAGCAGUAAGUAGAAAACAGAGAGUUCUACUAAAUAUGGCCCUGGGACGUGU
rnacentral:rRNA from 1 species